AUUGUGAUUGCUCAUCAGGAUGUCGAGUUACGGAUGUUAUUGGUAAAACAGACCAUGAGAUAUUGUCAGGAGAGGGUAUAGAUGAGAUGAAUAAGGUCAAGAGAGAGGUUAUGUCCAAGGG